AUUGCACGCUAGCGGCAGGCUUAACACAUGCAAGUCGAACGAGUGGCGGACGGGUGAGUAAUGUCUGGGAACCUGCCUGAUGGCGGGGGAUAACUACUCGAAAAGGUAGCUAAUACCGCAUACCAUCAGAUGUGCCCAGAUGGGAUUAGCUAGUUGGUGGGGUAACGGCUCACCAAGGCGACGAUCCCUAGCUGGUCUGAGAGGAUGACCAGCCACACUGGAACGGAGACACGGUCCAGACUCCUACGGGAGGCAGCAGUGGGGAAUAUUGCACAAUGGGCGAAAGCCUGAUGCAGCCAUGCCGCGUGUAUGAAGAAGGCCUUCGGGUUGUAAAGUACUUUCGGCGGGGAGGCGUUACCCGCAGAAGAAGCACCGGCUAACUCCGUGCCAGCAGCCGCGGUAAUUC
rnacentral:rRNA from 1 species